AUAGCUCAGUUGGUAGAGCGCCUGUCUUACACACAGGUGGUCAUAGGUUCGAGUCCUGUU
rnacentral:tRNA from 1 species